rnacentral:rRNA from 1 species
UACGGAGGGUGCAAGCGUUAAUCGGAAUCACUGGGCGUAAAGCGCGCGUAGGCCGUCUUUUAAGUCGGACGUGAAAGCCCUCGGCUCAACCGGGGAACUGCGUUCGAUACUGGGAGACUUGAGUCCUGGAGAGGGUGGCGGAAUUCCGGGUGUAGGAGUGAAAUCCGUAGAUAUCCGGAGGAACACCGGUGGCGAAGGCGGCCACCUGGACAGGUACUGACGCUGAGGCGCGAAAGCGUGGGGAGCAAACAGG